GACAGAGGUGCCGAGCGUUAGGCGGAAUUACUGGGCUUAAAGCGUGUGUAGGCGGGCCGUUAAGUAUUUUGUGAAAUCCCCCGGCUCAACCGGGGAAUGGCUGGAUAUACUGGCGGUCUUGAGCGAUCUAGGGGCAGAUGGAACAAGUGGUGGAGCGGUGAAAUGCGUAGAUAUCACUUGGAACGCCAAAGGUGAAAACAGUCUGCUGGGGAUCUGCUGACGCUGAGACACGAAAGCCAGGGGAGCGAACGGG
rnacentral:rRNA from 1 species